UACGGGGGGGGCAAGCGUUGUUCGGAAUUACUGGGCGUAAAGGGCGCGUAGGUGGCCAACUAAGUCAGACGUGAAAUCCCUCGGCUUAACCGGGGAACUGCGUCUGAUACUGGAUGGCUUGAGUUUGGGAGAGGGACGCGGAAUUCCAGGUGUAGCGGUGAAAUGCGUAGAUAUCAAGAGGAACACCUGAGGUGAAGACGGGUUGCUGGGCCAACACUGACGCUGAUGCGCGAAAGCCAGGGGAGCAAACGGG
rnacentral:rRNA from 1 species